rnacentral:rRNA from 1 species
UACGGAGGGUGCAAGCGUUGUCCGGAUUUAUUGGGUUUAAAGGGUGCGUAGGCGGGCUAAUAAGUCUGGUUUGAAAGUCAGCGGCUCAACCGUUGAGGGUGGCUGGAUACUGUUAGUCUUGAAAUUGUUGGAGGCAGCCGGAACGGAUCGUGUAGCGGUGAAAUGCAUAGAUAUGAUCCAGAACACCAAUUGCGUAGGCAGGCUGCUACGACUGAUUUGACGCUGAGGCACGAGAGCAUGGGGAGCAAACAGG